rnacentral:rRNA from 1 species
UGGGGAAUUUUGGACAAUGGGCGAAAGCCUGAUCCAGCAAUGCCGCGUGUGUGAAGAAGGCCUUCGGGUUGUAAAGCACUUUUGUCCGGAAAGAAAUCCUUGGCUCUAAUACAGUCGGGGGAUGACGGUACCGGAAGAAUAAGCACCGGCUAACUACGUGCCAGCAGCCGCGGUAAUACGUAGGGUGCAAGCGUUAAUCGGAAUUACUGGGCGUAAAGCGUGCGCAGGCGGUUUGCUAAGACCGAUGUGAAAUCCCCGGGCUCAACCUGGGAGCUGCAUUGGUGACUGGCAGGCUAGAGUAUGGCAGAGGGGGGUAGAAUUCCACGUGUAGCAGUGAAAUGCGUAGAGAUGUGGGGGAAUACCGAUGGCGAAGGCAGCCCCCUGGGCCAAUACUGACGCUCAUGCACGAAAGCGUGGGGAGCAAACAGGAUUAGAUACCCUGGUAGUCCACGCCCUAAACGAUGUCAACUAGUUGUUGGGGAUUCAUUUCCUUAGUAACGUAGCUAACGCGUGAAGUUGACCGCCUGGGGGAGUACGGUCGCAAGAUUAAAACUCAAAGGAAUUGACGGGGUCAUAGCUGUUUCCU